rnacentral:rRNA from 1 species
GACGAACCGUGCGAACGUUAUUCGGAAUCACUGGGCUUAAAGGGCGCGUAGGCGGGCCUGAAAGUCAGGGGUGAAAGCCCCCAGCUUAACUGGGGAAGUGCCUCUGAUACUUCAGGCCUCGAGGGAGGUAGGGGCGUGCGGAACUUCCGGUGGAGCGGUGAAAUGCGUAGAUAUCGGAAGGAACGUCGGUGGCGAAAGCGGCGCGCUGGACCUCUUCUGACGCUGAGGCGCGAAAGCGUGGGGAGCGAACAGG